CCGCGUUUGAUAAGGCUGAUAUUGAACGCAGAUGUUUCCCUGUGUGAAAAACAAGCAGUUUGCAUUUGUUUGGAUUAGCGGUGUCAGGGGAAGGUACGACCCAAAGGAGUGAAAGAGGAAGGACUUGUUUGGGGGUGAGAGGGAGGUGCAGGGUGACUGAAAACGAAGACACUUCUUUCAAAUAUCUUCAUGCAACAUUUUUCGCUCUAUGAUCUGCAGAAAUCAUAUCCCAGUUAGCGUUUAGCUUAGCUCCUGCACCCCUUCAUCAUUGUCCAUAAGUUUGGGGGGGGGGGGUUUAAUAUCUUCACUGUCAUGCCCCUUUUUGCCACAUCAAGCCGCAAAUGCCGCUGCAGGAGGCCCCCACAUCGCCGCCGAAUCCUCCUCCUAAGUCCUGUGACUGGACACGGACAAGGACAGCUAAUUCCGGCGAUGUCUUCCUGUUCUUAGAAUAAACACAUUUCAUAUCCUCUCUCAGAAGAGAGUGUCAUUGUCCCCAUCUGUGCUUUCUACUUUUAAACCAAACAAAAACAAAGGAAGUGAGCAGAAAUAUCACUAGACACUCUCCUGAUGAUUCCCUUAUAUAUGUAAAGAGACUUUGUAUAGUCAUUUGUACCUGUGGAAAUUAGACUAUAUUACUGUUUGUGCUGGUAAUAACAAAGCCAUAUUAAACAGUUCCUGAAA